GUCGAGCGGAACGAGUUAUCUGAACCUUCGGGGNNACGAUAACGGCGUCGAGCGGCGGACGGGUGAGUAAUGCCUAGGAAAUUGCCCUGAUGUGGGGGAUAACCAUUGGAAACGAUGGCUAAUACCGCAUAAUGCCUACGGGCCAAAGAGGGGGACCUUCGGGCCUCUCGCGUCAGGAUAUGCCUAGGUGGGAUUAGCUAGUUGGUGAGGUAAUGGCUCACCAAGGCGACGAUCCCUAGCUGGUCUGAGAGGAUGAUCAGCCACACUGGAACUGAGACACGGUCCAGACUCCUACGGGAGGCAGCAGUGGGGAAUAUUGCACAAUGGGCGCAAGCCUGAUGCAGCCAUGCCGCGUGUGUGAAGAAGGCCUUCGGGUUGUAAAGCACUUUCAGUCGUGAGGAAGGUNGUGUAGUUAAUAGCUGCAUUAUUUGACGUUAGCGACAGAAGAAGCACCGGCUAACUCCGUGCCAGCAGCCGCGGUAAUACGGAGGGUGCGAGCGUUAAUCGGAAUUACUGGGCGUAAAGCGCAUGCAGGUGGUUUGUUAAGUCAGAUGUGAAAGCCCGGGGCUCAACCUCGGAAUAGCAUUUGAAACUGGCAGACUAGAGUACUGUAGAGGGGGGGUAGAAUUUUCANGGUGUAGCGGUGAAAUGCGUAGAGAUCUGAAGGAAUACCGGGUGGCGAANGCGGCCCCCUGGNCAGAUACUGACACUCAGAUGCGAAAGCGUGGGGNAGCAAACAGGAUUAGAUACCCUGGUAGUCCACGCCGUAAACNNAUGUCUACUUGG
rnacentral:rRNA from 1 species